GAUGAACGCUGGCGGCGUGCUUAACACAUGCAAGUCGAACGAUGAAGCCCAGCUUGCUGGGUGGAUUAGUGGCGAACGGGUGAGUAACACGUGAGUAACCUGCCCUUAACUCUGGGAUAAGCCUGGGAAACUGGGUCUAAUACCGGAUAGGAGCGUCCACCGCAUGGUGGGUGUUGGAAAGAUUUAUCGGUUUUGGAUGGACUCGCGGCCUAUCAGCUUGUUGGUGAGGUAAUGGCUCACCAAGGCGACGACGGGUAGCCGGCCUGAGAGGGUGACCGGCCACACUGGGACUGAGAAACGGCCCAGACCCCGACGGGAGGCAGCAGUGGGGAAUAUUGCACAAUGGGCGCAAGCCUGAUGCAGCGACGCCGCGUGAGGGAUGACGGCCUUCGGGUUGUAAACCUCUUUCAGUAGGGAAGAAGCGAAAGUGACGGUACCUGAAGAAGAAGCACCGGCUAACUACGUG
rnacentral:rRNA from 1 species